AUUGCAGGCUGCAACCCGCCUGCAUGAAGCUGGAGUUGCUAGUAACCGCGCGUCAGCCAUAGUGCGGUGAAUACGUACCCGGGGCUUGUACACACCGCCCGUCACGUCAUGGGAGUCGGUAACGCCUGAAGCCGGUAGUCUAGCCUGCAAAGGGGGACGCUGUCGAAGGCGGGACUGGCAACUGGGACGAAGUCGUAACAAGGUAGCGGUACCGGAAGGUGCGGCUGGAUCACCUCCUUUCUAGGGAG
rnacentral:rRNA from 1 species